rnacentral:rRNA from 1 species
AGCGGCGGACGGGUGAGUAACACGUGGGUAACCUGCCCAAGAGACUGGGAUAACACCUGGAAACAGAUGCUAAUACCGGAUAACAACACUAGACGCAUGUCUAGAGCUUGAAAGAUGGUUCUGCUAUCACUCUUGGAUGGACCUGCGGUGCAUUAGCUAGUUGGUAAGGUAACGGCUUACCAAGGCAAUGAUGCAUAGCCGAGUUGAGAGACUGAUCGGCCACAUUGGGACUGAGACACGGCCCAAACCCCUACGGGAGGCAGCAGUAGGGAAUCUUCCACAAUGGACGAAAGUCUGAUGGAGCAACGCCGCGUGAGUGAAGAAGGGUUUCGGCUCGUAAAGCUCUGUUGGUAGUGAAGAAAGAUAGAGGUAGUAACUGGCCUUUAUUUGACGGUAAUUACUUAGAAAGUCACGGCUAACUACGUGCCAGCAGCCGCGGUAAUACGUAGGUGGCAAGCGUUGUCCGGAUUUAUUGGGCGUAAAGCGAGUGCAGGCGGUUCAAUAAGUCUGAUGUGAAAGCCUUCGGCUCAACCGGAGAAUUGCAUCAGAAACUGUUGAACUUGAGUGCAGAAGAGGAGAGUGGAACUCCAUGUGUAGCGGUGGAAUGCGUAGAUAUAUGGAAGAACACCAGUGGCGAAGGCGGCUCUCUGGUCUGCAACUGACGCUGAGGCUCGAAAGCAUGGGUAGCGAACAGGAUUAGAUACCCUGGUAGUCCAUGCCGUAAACGAUGAGUGCUAAGUGU